rnacentral:rRNA from 1 species
CGCGUAGGUGGUUCUUCAAGUCAGAUGUUAAAUCUCCCGGCUUAACUGGGAGCUGUCAUCUGAUACUGCUGGACUUGAGGGCGGUAGAGGGAGGUGGAAUUCCCGGUGUAGUGGUGAAAUGCGUAGAUAUCGGGAGGAACACCAGUGGCGAAAGCGGCCUCCUAGGCCGUUCCUGACACUGAGGCGCGAAAGCGUGGGGAGCGAACAGGAUCAGAUACCCUGGUAGUCCACGCCCUAAACUGUGGAAACUAGGUACAGGGAGUAUCGACCCUUCCUGCGCCGUAGCUAACGCGUUAAGUUUCCCGCCUGGGGACUACGGUCGCAAGACUAAA